rnacentral:rRNA from 1 species
ACGGGGAGCAGCCCAGAGCCUGAAUCAGUGUGUGUGUUAGUGGAAGCGUCUGGAAAGGCGCGCGAUACAGGGUGACAGCCCCGUACACAAAAAUGCACAUGCUGUGAGCUCGAUGAGUAGGGCGGGACACGUGGUAUCCUGUCUGAAUAUGGGGGGACCAUCCUCCAAGGCUAAAUACUCCUGACUGACCGAUAGUGAACCAGUACCGUGAGGGAAAGGCGAAAAGAACCCCGGCGAGGGGAGUGAAAAAGAACCUGAAACCGUGUACGUACAAGCAGUGGGAGCACGCUUAGGCGUGUGACUGCGUACCUUUUGUAUAAUGGGUCAGCGACUUAUAUUCUGUAGCAAGGUUAACCGAAUAGGGGAGCCGAAGGGAAACCGAGUCUUAACUGGGCGUUAAGUUGCAGGGUAUAGACCCGAAACCCGGUGAUCUAGCCAUGGGCAGGUUGAAGGUUGGGUAACACUAACUGGAGGACCGAACCGACUAAUGUUGAAAAAUUAGCGGAUGACUUGUGGCUGGGGGUGAAAGGCCAAUCAAACCGGGAGAUAGCUGGUUCUCCCCGAAAGCUAUUUAGGUAGCGCCUCGUGAAUUCAUCUCCGGGGGUAGAGCACUGUUUCGGCAAGGGGGUCAUCCCGACUUACCAACCCGAUGCAAACUGCGAAUACCGGAGAAUGUUAUCACGGGAGACACACGGCGGGUGCUAACGUCCGUCGUGAAGAGGGAAACAACCCAGACCGCCAGCUAAGGUCCCAAAGUCAUGGUUAAGUGGGAAACGAUGUGGGAAGGCCCAGACAGCCAGGAUGUUGGCUUAGAAGCAGCCAUCAUUUAAAGAAAGCGUAAUAGCUCACUGGUCGAGUCGGCCUGCGCGGAAGAUGUAACGGGGCUAAACCAUGCACCGAAGCUGCGGCAGCGACGCUGAUGCGUUGUUGGGUAGGGGAGCGUUCUGUAAGCCUGCGAAGGUGUGCUGUGAGGCAUGCUGGAGGUAUCAGAAGUGCGAAUGCUGACAUAAGUAACGAUAAAGCGGGUGAAAAGCCCGCUCGCCGGAAGACCAAGGGUUCCUGUCCAACGUUAAUCGGGGCAGGGUGAGUCGACCCCUAAGGCGAGGCCGAAAGGCGUAGUCGAUGGGAAACAGGUUAAUAUUCCUGUACUUGGUGUUACUGCGAAGGGGGGACGGAGAAGGCUAUGUUGGCCGGGCGACGGUUGUCCCGGUUUAAGCGUGUAGGCUGGUUUUCCAGGCAAAUCCGGAAAAUCAAGGCUGAGGCGUGAUGACGAGGCACUACGGUGCUGAAGCAACAAAUGCCCUGCUUCCAGGAAAAGCCUCUAAGCAUCAGGUAACAUCAAAUCGUACCCCAAACCGACACAGGUGGUCAGGUAGAGAAUACCAAGGCGCUUGAGAGAACUCGGGUGAAGGAACUAGGCAAAAUGGUGCCGUAACUUCGGGAGAA